GCUCAGGGUGCACCUAGGGGCGUCCACGCCGCAGCUGAUCCCGCAGCCGAGCAGAGUGUCUCCUGGCUGGCUAAACCCCAAUGAGGAAUAAGAACAGACUGAAACGUUUCAGGCUUCCUGGCUCAGGAAGGUUCAGUGCUGCUGUCAACAUCCAGCAGCCGGUGAUACCACACAAUAAUACAAAAAGCUACUCAUCAAUUUCACAUACUGAAUAUUUCCUCCUGACAUUACAUAUAUCAAGAUAAACCUCUUAUAAAAAGAAUGUUAGAGCGAAGCAGCACAGCCGCUGCUGCCGCUGCCUCCAUGGUUCCGUCAGACAGGCUGCAGGGUCCUGAUGUCCGCCCCUCUGCUAUGUGCCCACUUGCCAGACGGUGCGGGUGGGCUCCCGUUGUCCACUGACGCCUCUGGUCUCCCGUAGCAACGCGAUCUCGGAUGUCCCGUGUCUCCCCGCAGCUUCCUUUCGCGCGUCUCCCCGCGGAUCUUUUCCCGCGCCCCCCACGGUUUCUUUUCUCCGUGUCUCACCGUCAAAAACAGUAUGAAGAAAGUCUAUUAUCUUCCCAUCAGGCCUGGGUCUCAGCUGGGGAGUGCUUUCUGAAGAGGUCAACCAACUUGAAGAGAAUUGAUCUUCCUCCCAAGCUCUAUGAACCAGUGUCUCAGCUAUCAGGGGUAAGCGUCCUUCUGUGUAAGGAAGACAGAAUGGGUACACACACUGUGCAACACCAUGAUAUUACCUAUGUGACCAUGGAGAGAGAAAACAGGACAAAAAGGAAAGAAAAUCUACAAGGAUGCUAGACACAGGGGGACAUGAGUUGCAAGGGGAAAAAAAAGGAGGGGGGCUGGGGGAAGGAAGGGGUUUUCUAAGCAAUUUGUUGUCCCAAAUUGUGGGGGCAGUACACAGUCCUCAGAUCUGGUCCCCAGAGAACAAGUCGCUGUGUGUCUUCUCAGGGUUAUCUCCUAGCCGAAAGACAGAGCUAACACAGCUAACUCACCUCAGCAGGUGCACAAAUACAGUUUUAUCAAUGUUUUGUCAUUGUUAAGCAUGACUGGGAAGGCUAGGUUUGAGCCAAAGACUACUGCAGUCUU
rnacentral:lncRNA from 1 species